AAGCUGGAUUUAUCUCCUGCAGGGGAGGGAGGGCAGUGGCUUGGGUCCGGAAGUCUAGGAUUGCCUCCUUCUAGUAUCACCGGGGGGGCACUAAGCCACAGGUCCAGGGUGUCAGACCUCAACACAACAUCUGCCUUAGAACUCACGAGGUCUCUGGGUGGGAGAACUGGGUAUCUGGAUGUAUGGCGAGCAGGUGGUAGGCAAGCAUCAAACACAGAGCCUAGGCAUCAGUCAGUGGGGUGGGGGGAGCUCUAUUCGCAGGGGCCUAGGUUGUGGGCGGGAAUGGGAUAGAAGAAAUUUGCUAUAGGACAGAGAGCUCAGGGUCUUUGAAGCAUAUGCCUGCUAAGCCUUAGGAGGGCAGAUGUUAUGAAACAACCUUUGACCAGGAAAAUCCUGGAAAAUCUUUUCUGUAACCCCAACUCCACCUGAGAGAUCUUGGACUGUUGAGGGCCUGUGGCAGCCGCAGUGGGCCAUGGUAGAGAAGCUGUAGAUCUUGUUAUGUAGGAUUUGUGCUGUAGGUGGACCGAGGCAGCAAGUCAAGAGUUGAAUUCUCACUAACAGGGUCACUGACACUUUGGGGUCCUGCGUUUACCUUAAUGCCGGAGAGGAGUAUAUCGCUCAAGGGUCCAGUGAUGUCACUGCAGAGCAGGUGUGGGCAGUUUGUCCUCAGUGAGGUAAACGGAUCUUUGGGCACUGUGAAUCCAAAUUAGGGUGGGAUUUACUGAGAUGUGUUGUAUGUUGUUAGGCAUCUGUCAUGUAUCGUGUCUCCUAGAGGUAUUGUGUACGAUGUGGGUAGUUUAUGGCCCUGUGCUGGAAGGGUGGUGAAGGGAGUUGCUGGGUAGGCAGCCUAACGAAAACCUCUGCCUUGUGGGAUUAGCAUCAGCGAUAAGGAAUGUGAGCAUUUGCUGGAGUCGUCAAACAGUAUCAGGGAACAGUUAGGGUGGAUAGGCGAUUUCUUCUCGGCAGAAUCACAUAGAGGCCAAAUGCCAUUAUGAGGGUGCCUCUGCUCCCAGCAAAAGCAGAGUGGAGUCAUGUUGACUGGGGAAUUAUUAGGGAAGGCUGACUGGCUGGAAGACAUCGAGUGUUUGCUGUAUGGUUCCCUAGGAAGGGUCCUACCCAGGAGGACAUGUGCCCUUCCCUCCAGAAUGGAAAGGCAGAAAUCAAAGCUCACAAAUGCUCAUUUGCUUCAAGGCUCAAAGUUUGGAGAUAUUUCUCUGCAGAGAAACCUGUUUGAGUUUCUAUACUCCAGGAACCGGGCUGGCAGGAGGCAGUAAUGAGAAACCCUGAGGCCAGGCCGAAGCCAAUCCUGGGAGAUGUUGUCCCUCCAGAUUAAUUUUAAGAACUACUCAUGCUGCCUGAGCUGCCGCCUUUGGGGGGGACCUGCUGAAUGUCCUUGCCGUCCUCAGGACAGCACUGAAGCCAGACUGAAACCUGCUAUGCUGCUCGCUG
rnacentral:lncRNA from 1 species